UACGUAGGGGGCAAGCGUUGUCCGGAUUUAUUGGGCGUAAAGAGCGUGUAGGCGGCUUUACAGGUCCGUUGUGAAAACUCGAGGCUCAACCUCGAGACGCCGGUGGAAACCGUAAGGCUAGAGUCCGGAAGAGGAGAGUGGAAUUCCUGGUGUAGAGGUGAAAUUCGUAGAUAUUAGGAAGAACACCAGUGGCGAAGGCGGCUCACUGGCCCGGUACUGACGCUGAGGCGCGAAAGCGUGGGGAGCAAACAGG
rnacentral:rRNA from 1 species